rnacentral:rRNA from 1 species
AACGAACGCUGGCGGCAUACCUAACACAUGCAAGUCGAACGAAGUCUUCGGACUUAGUGGCGCACGGGUGAGUAACGCGUGGGAACCUGCCCUUCGGUACGGAAUAACGUCGGGAAACUGACGCUAAUACCGUAUAUGUCUCUGGAUGGAAGAUUUAUCGCCGGAGGAGGGGCCCGCGUCUGAUUAGCUAGUUGGUGAGGUAAUGGCUCACCAAGGCGACGAUCAGUAGCUGGUCUGAGAGGAUGAUCAGCCACACUGGGACUGAGACACGGCCCAGACUCCUACGGGAGGCAGCAGUGGGGAAUAUUGGACAAUGGGGGCAACCCUGAUCCAGCAAUGCCGCGUGAGUGAUGAAGGCCUUCGGGUUGUAAAGCUCUUUUGGCAGGGACGAUGAUGACGGUACCUGCAGAAUAAGCCCCGGCUAACUUCGUGCCAGCAGCCGCCGUAAAAC